GAGUUUGAUCAUGGCUCAGAUUGAACGCUGGCGGCAUGCCUUACACAUGCAAGUCGAACGGCAGCACGGGAGCUUGCUCCUGGUGGCGAGUGGCGAACGGGUGAGUAAUGCAUCGGAACGUAUCCUGGAGUGGGGGAUAACGUAGCGAAAGUUACGCUAAUACCGCAUAUUCUGUGAGCAGGAAAGCGGGGGACCUUCGGGCCUCGCGCUCUUGGAGCGGCCGAUGUCGGAUUAGCUAGUUGGUGAGGUAAAGGCUCACCAAGGCGACGAUCCGUAGCAGGUCUGAGAGGAUGAUCUGCCACACUGGAACUGAGACACGGUCCAGACUCCUACGGGAGGCAGCAGUGGGGAAUUUUGGACAAUGGGGGCAACCCUGAUCCAGCCAUGCCGCGUGUGUGAAGAAGGUCUUCGGAUUGUAAAGCACUUUAAGUUGGGAGGAAGGGCAGUAAGUUAAUACCUUGCUGUUUUGACGUUACCGACAGAAUAAGCACCGGCUAACUCUGUG
rnacentral:rRNA from 1 species